rnacentral:pre_miRNA from 1 species
AGCAUUUUGAAUCCGUGCGCAGAUUUCGUCAGACAACAACCCAUUAGUGCUGAAUAGACUUCCAAGAUAAUUGAAGUU